rnacentral:lncRNA from 1 species
AGCUGAAUAUCAGAAGAUGCCUGCAUUUCUCCAUGAAGAACAGCAACAUCACUUGCAGAUGCUUCAAAAGGAGGACGAAGACAAUUUUUAGCAACUCCAUAAAAGCGAUGCCAGAAUGGCCCAUGAGAGGGAGAUUUUAAAAGGAAUGUAUGAGGAGCUGAAGGAAAAGUCCCAUAAACCAGAUGUGGAGUUUACAGGUGUUUGGAGACAUAUUACAC